rnacentral:rRNA from 1 species
AGUGAACGCUGGCGGUAGGCCUAACACAUGCAAGUCGAACGGCAGCACAGUAAGAGCUUGCUCUUACGGGUGGCGAGUGGCGGACGGGUGAGGAAUACAUCGGAAUCUACUUUUUCGUGGGGGAUAACGUAGGGAAACUUACGCUAAUACCGCAUACGACCUACGGGUGAAAGCAGGGGAUCUUCUGACCUUGCGCGAUUGAAUGAGCCGAUGUCGGAUUAGCUAGUUGGCGGGGUAAAGGCCCACCAAGGCGACGAUCCGUAGCUGGUCUGAGAGGAUGAUCAGCCACACUGGAGCUGAGACACGGUCCAGACUCCUACGGGAGGCAGCAGUGGGGAAUAUUGGACAAUGGGCGCAAGCCUGAUCCAGCCAUACCGCGUGGGUGAAGAAGGCCUUCGGGUUGUAAAGCCCUUUUGUUGGGAAAGAAAAGCAGCAGGUUAAUACCCCGCUGUUCUGACGGUACCCAAAGAAUAAGCACCGGCUAACUUCGUG